UACAGAGGGUGCAAGCGUUAAUCGGAAUUACUGGGCGUAAAGCGUGCGUAGGUGGUUUUUUAAGUCAGGUGUGAAAUCCCUGGGCUCAACCUGGGAACUGCAUUUGAUACUGGAAAGCUAGAGUGUGGUAGAGGAUGGUGGAAUUCCCGGUGUAGCGGUGAAAUGCGUAGAUAUCGGGAGGAACAUCAGUGGCGAAGGCGGCCAUCCGGACCAACACUGACACUGAGGCACAAAAGCGUGGGGAGCAAACAGG
rnacentral:rRNA from 1 species